UGGGGAAUCUUGCACAAUGGGGGAAACCCUGAUGCAGCGACGCCGCGUGAGCGAUGAAGGUUUUCGAAUCGUAAAGCUCUGUCCUAUGGGAAGAUAAUGACGGUACCAUGGGAGGAAGCCCCGGCUAACUACGUGCCAGCAGCCGCGGUAAUACGUAGGGGGCGAGCGUUGUCCGGAAUUACUGGGCGUAAAGGGUUCGCAGGCGGCAUGGCAAGUCCGAUGUAAAAGGCGAAGGCUCAACCUUCGUAAGCAUCGGAAACUGUCAAGCUUGAGUGAAGGAGAGGCAAGUGGAAUUCCUAGUGUAGCGGUGGAAUGCGUAGAUAUUAGGAGGAAUACCGGUGGCGAAGGCGACUUGCUGGACUUCAACUGACGAUGAGGAACGAAAGCGUGGGUAGCAAACAGG
rnacentral:rRNA from 1 species